GCCUACCUGAUGAGUCCCAAAAAGGGCGAAACCGGUCGUGGAC
rnacentral:hammerhead_ribozyme from 1 species